UAUGUGUGAGGAGCAUGAGUCAACACGCUCACUACGAUGGCGUCUAGGUAGAGACUUGGAUCAGUCCCUUUACCCCGUUAUACCCCGCAACACCCGCGCCCAAAAAAUAGUGAAAUUCGUUCUCGUGGAUAAAAUGACUUUAUGAAUACAAGCUAAAACAUCUAUUAGUUGACUCUAUAAACAUGCCGGGAAUACGAUGGUGGAGUUCUCUAGACGUCGAUAAACUACAAGAAUUUGGUUUUCAACGUGGAGGAGGUCCAGAAAAUUGUUCGUGACAAUAUUGAAUUGUGUCUCGGUGGUAACACUUACAGCCACUCCAGAACUCCACAGUGGAUAACGAUUAUCACAGAGAAGACCUUGGCACGACUAAAUAAGCUGAAUAAGCCCUUUAAAUACUUAAUGCGUAUAACUAUAACACAAAAGAAUGGCACAGGACUGCAUACAGCGGCGGCGUACUUUUGGGACACAGCAACUGACGGAACAUGCACAGUUCGGUGGGAAAACAAAUACAUGUACUGCAUUAUUAAUGUAUGGGGUCUUGCUCUUCAAAUAUAAUUUCCAUAACUAAUAUUAUAUAC